rnacentral:rRNA from 1 species
GACGAACGCUGGCGGCGUGCUUAACACAUGCAAGUCGAACGGAAAGGCCCUGCUUUUGUGGGGUGCUCGAGUGGCGAACGGGUGAGUAACACGUGAGUAACCUGCCCUUGACUUUGGGAUAACUUCAGGAAACUGGGGCUAAUACCGGAUAGGAGCUCCUGCUGCAUGGUGGGGGUUGGAAAGGUUCGGCGGUUGGGGAUGGACUCGCGGCUUAUCAGCUUGUUGGUGGGGUAGUGGCUUACCAAGGCUUUGACGGGUAGCCGGCCUGAGAGGGUGACCGGCCACAUUGGGACUGAGAUACGGCCCAGACUCCUACGGGAGGCAGCAGUGGGGAAUAGUGCACAAUGGGCGGAAGCCUGAUGCAGCAACGCCGCGUGCGGGAUGACGGCCUUCGGGUUGUAAACCGCUUUCGCCUGUGACGAAGCGUGAGUGACGGUAAUGGGUAAAGAAGCACCGGCUAACUACGUG